rnacentral:rRNA from 1 species
GAGGGCGCUUACCACUUUGUGAUUCAUGACUGGGGUGAAGUCGUAACAAGGUAACCGUAGGGGAACCUGCGGUUGGAUCACCUCCUUACCUGAAAGAAGC